CGGCAGCACAGUAAGAGCUUGCUCUUAUGGGUGGCGAGUGGCGGACGGGUGAGGAAUACAUCGGAAUCUACUUUUUCGUGGGGGAUAACGUAGGGAAACUUACGCUAAUACCGCAUACGACCUUCGGGUGAAAGCAGGGGACCUUCGGGCCUUGCGCGAUUGAAUGAGCCGAUGUCGGAUUAGCUAGUUGGCGGGGUAAAGGCCCACCAAGGCGACGAUCCGUAGCUGGUCUGAGAGGAUGAUCAGCCACACUGGAACUGAGACACGGUCCAGACUCCUACGGGAGGCAGCAGUGGGGAAUAUUGGACAAUGGGCGCAAGCCUGAUCCAGCCAUACCGCGUGGGUGAAGAAGGCCUUCGGGUUGUAAAGCCCUUUUGUUGGGAAAGAAAACUUGCAGGUUAAUACCCAGCAAGUCUGACGGUACCCAAAGAAUAAGCACCGGCUAACUUCGUGCCAGCAGC
rnacentral:rRNA from 1 species